GGGCCGUGCCGCCUCGCAUCUGGCCGGCCGAGCGCGCUCUUCCUGCACCCGGCCAGCCCUGCAGCCGUGCAGGAGCUCAGCCGCCUCCCCUCCGCCGCACACACGCCCUUCUUCCCACUCUGUCUCCACGAACGGUUCCUAGAAAUGCGGCCAGGUUCACUCCUCGGUGCCCUGCACUUGUAAACCAAGAAAAAGUGCCAGACAUCAAUUCUAUCUGGCAGCCAUCAAAAGACAUCAGACCACAAAAACUAUACAUUCCUGGACCUCAGGAGGAGCUCUACAGGGAGCCGCAGGAGCCAACCCAAAUGGCUGGGAUACAGCUGCCUCUGCAGUCCACAAUGCAGGCAACUGCAAGUCAUCAACCACUGCUCCCCAGAAUAGGCAGCAGAAAAACAAAGCAGAAUGAAAAACCAAAAGAGUCCUAGGAAGAAUAUGUGGGAAUUUGGGACCAAACGGCGGAAAGCAGGGGUUCAGGCACAGUGUGUAGGACAGAGGAUGCUGGUUUUUCACUGCACUUUUCCAUGCUGGUUGAUUUUUGAGAGACCGCACUACAUGUUUUCCCUUGGUGAAAGUUUAAGAGAUCCCAGGAAUUCCACCUGUGGAUCCCUCGGAAGACUGGGGAUCGGAUUAAGAAGCCUUGAUCUGGAGUCACAUCCCCCAGAGCAGCCUCCACACUGCUGUCCACCAAAUCUGACGCUGCUACUCAAGCUCUGCAACCUUCGAUGGCUCCCUGCCCUCCCAGGUAAAGGACAAACUGGCCCUGUUCUCACCCGGUUUAUCAGCCAGGCCAGCUCUUUCCCUAAAUCAUUAUGGACUGCAAAACUGUACUGAGAAAAAUAAAAAUUAAAAA